rnacentral:rRNA from 1 species
AACAAGGUCUCCGUUGGUGAACCAGCGGAGGGAUCAUUACCGAGUUUACAACUCCCAAACCCCUGUGAACAUACCUUAUGUUGCCUCGGCGGAUCAGCCCGCGCCCCGUAAAAAGGGACGGCCCGCCGCAGGAACCCUAAACUCUGUUUUUAGUGGAACUUCUGAGUAUAAAAAACAAAUAAAUCAAAACUUUCAACAACGGAUCUCUUGGUUCUGGCAUCGAUGAAGAACGCAGCAAAAUGCGAUAAGUAAUGUGAAUUGCAGAAUUCAGUGAAUCAUCGAAUCUUUGAACGCACAUUGCGCCCGCCAGUAUUCUGGCGGGCAUGCCUGUUCGAGCGUCAUUUCAACCCUCAAGCUCAGCUUGGUGUUGGGAGCUGCAGUCCUGCUGCACUCCCCAAAUACAUUGGCGGUCACGUCGAGCUUCCAUAGCGUAGUAAUUUACACAUCGUUACUGGUAAUCGUCGCGGCCACGCCGUUAAACCCCAACUUCUGAAUGUUGACCUCGGAUCAGGUAGGAAUACCCGCUGAACUUAAGCAUA